rnacentral:rRNA from 1 species
UACAGAGGUCCCAAGCGUUGUUCGGAUUCACUGGGCGUAAAGGGUGCGUAGGUGGUGGGGUAAGUCGGAUGUGAAAUCUCCGAGCUCAACUCGGAAACUGCAUUGGAAACUACCCUGCUAGAGGGUCGGAGGGGGGACUGGAAUUUACGGUGUAGCGGUGAAAUGCGUAGAUAUCGUAAGGAAGACCAGUGGCGAAGGCGGGUCUCUGGACAGUUCCUGACGCUGAGGCACGAAGGCCAGGGGAGCAAACGGG